GACAUGACGAAUCUAUAAGGGUUCCGUUUUUUGCCAUUUGGCGUAAAGGUCUUAAAAAUGAUAUUGAGGUUUCUAAUAUCAUUUUUAUCUAAACUUCAUAGUUUGCGCGAGAGACACUUCUAAAGUGGUAAAAUGUGUGUCCCCCCCCCCCUGUAACUUCUAAAAUAA